rnacentral:rRNA from 1 species
GUGCUACAAUGGCAAGUACAACGAGCAGCUAACCCGCGAGGGUACGCGAAUCUCUUAAAACUUGUCUCAGUUCGGAUUGUAGGCUGCAACUCGCCUACAUGAAGUCGGAAUCGCUAGUAAUCGCGGAUCAGCACGCCGCGGUGAAUACGUUCCCGGGUCUUGUACACACCGCCCGUCACACCAUGAGAGUUUGUAACACCCAAAGCCGGUGAGGUAACCUUUUAGGAGCCAACCGUCUAAGGUGGGACAGAUGAUUAGGGUGAAGUCGUAACAAGGUAGCCGUAGGAGAACCUGCGGCURGAUCACCUCCUUUCUAAGGAA